CUCAGCAUUUCCAAUCCGACCCCGAUCUGGCCUCGUUAUCCCAGCGAAAUGGAGACACAGAAAAGGGUCAAGGAAAUCGAACCACUAAGAAUAAGGACGCCCAUGUCUGUGGCAGUGACCGCCGACCUCAGCGGGAGAUUGGGGACACGGAACUGAGCCCAGCGCUCUGACCCGAGGGCUGUGAUCUCCCUCACGUUAUCACUCACAGCAAAUAAAUUAGUUUGGCUGCCUUCAAAUUACGGAUGGUCCAAACAAACCAACCAACCAACCAGGAGCGACCAGUUGUGUACGCACGUGUAUUUUGUUCACAACUGCAGCACGCAGGUAUUUGCUUUAGAGGACUUUCUUUGCAAUGGGCUGGGGGGGCCGUUCUGACCUCCCGCACAGGGGGGUCUCCUCGCCCUUCCCAUUGCCCGGGCGGCGGAUCGGGCGCUGCAGGGGGGCUCUGCUGCAAAGCUGGGGAGGGAACAAAAAACUUUCCGAGGAGUUUUGCCGUUAAUAUGAUUCUGAAAAGUAUAGUAUAGUAAAGUAUAACGCUUUAGUCUGAGCACCUCCCGGACUCGGUAUCUUUAGAACUCUCCUGUUUGACCGCCGCGGUGCCCGGAGCCCGCCGGCUUCUGAGUGCGAACAGUCGGGAAUUUCGAGCCACCUUUUGCUCUCGCACAAAGGUAAAUCCAUCGGGCUGCCGCGGCCGCAGCAGUGAAACUCCAACCCCGCUCAGCUCUGAGCCGAGCGCAGCAGCAGCGCAGCAGCGGGUCGGUGCCGCGCAGCAUUGCGGUUCUGCUCCUUCCGAGGCGGAGCGUCCCGCGAGCAGCGGCCGCUUUGCAAAAGCAAAAGAGAGAUUUUUCCCUCGAGGCCGCGCGGCACGAGGCCGGCCGGCCGUAGGGCGUGUGCCGGGCGGGGGCUGCUGAGGGAUCCCCGCGCCGCCGGGCGGAGGGGACGCGGCGAUGCGGCCAUCCCGGGGGCUCCACGUCGGCACCGCAGGCUACAGUUAACAUAAGAGCAGCUGAACCAGUCCUUCAGUCACUACUGGUGGUGGCCUAGAGGAUGCCUCAAAAAUAGCAAGCAAGCACGUGGUGAUUGCUGCUUGGGAGCAUCUCCUUGUUCUAGAGGCAUGAGUUCCUGAACAACAUGCACCCAUGUGUGUCACAAGAAGUCCUGCAAGGAUGUUCUACUGCAGAGAAGUAAAGCCUGCAUUCUUGAGCAUCCACUUUGAAAUCACCAACUCAAAGAAGCCAGGAUCCACAUUACAUCCCCAGGAAGAUCUAAAAUCUUUGGAAUUUAGAAGAAAAACUAUUCUGUGCAGCAUAAUAAACCUGUUGGGAAACAGAAGACAAAGUCCUGCCUGAUCUAAAGCCGUGAAAAGCUUUCAACUCACAAGAGAAGAAUUUCCUGGGGGAAUUAACAGACCAGGAAGGAAACCAAGUGGAGAAAAGUGCAGAAUGAGAACUGUGCUCAUAACAUACAGGAAGAGCCAAGAGUUUAGAAAUUGAAAGGUAAUGUUUUUGUAUGAUGAUUUGUCAGUCUGUCACAAGUAUUACCUCUUGAAUGCUUCUGCCUUUGAAAACAGACUCAAAGCCUUUCAGGAUGGUAAAAAUUCAACACAACACUUGAGAGUUAGGGUCCUGGAAUUGGUGUUUAAAAGUGGCUUGCAAACUUGUUUCUGCAAAACAACUGCUACAGAAUGGAUGAAAUAAAAUAAACUUUAUCCACGUGCUUUCAGGGAGCAGAUGUGCUUUAGGCUGUGAUGUUUGGACCAUGCUGACACUGGAUGGCUCAGGUGGCAGCUGCUUUGAGCCACCUCUGAGGUGCACAGCUCUCUUCAUCCAGUGAGAGGAACCCCAGAUUGGACCAGAAUUGGGACAACUUUACAGAGUUCAGUGGAAUUCCCUGAAUUUUCUGAUACAGGCAAGCUUUUUCAAUUGCCGUUCCUGUAAAUACAUGGAGAUGAACCAAAUCAAAAUCGUAUUCACCGAAACACAGAGAACUCACCAAAGAGAAAGAACAUUCUCGUCUUAUUAAAGAAGAAAUUAGGCUUAGCAGAAAUUAAAUAACAUUCUAAUUGCACGAAGCUUUCCUGAGAUGGUUGGAUCACAGGUGCAGCAAUCUCUCUGCAUUUUCUAGAUUUGAAGCCCUGGAAAAGAACAGUGAAAACAUGAACCUGUAAGAGAAACUAUCCAACAGUGAAGGCAAUCACAGUGGAGUUAAGGUACCCAAUUUACAUUGUGGUUGUGUUAGUUAAAGAUCUCAGCUCCAUGUAUGAUAUGAACAAAUAUAUGCAAUCCUCCAAAGUUUGGAAGAACAGCUUGGCACUGCAUCUUUUCAAGGAUAGUACUGAUUGUACGGCAUCGUGUCCAUGAACUUCCAGGGUUCCCAUUAAAAUCUGACAGAACAUCAGAGUACCAGAAGCUUCUCAUAUUGUGGCUCUGGAGCAUUAAUACAACUGUGGUGAAACUGAUUCUGUAACAGUGCACUGACAACAAACUAGUAAGAAAAUGCUGGGUGUGGUGCCCCUGGACUCACCUGUUCGUCGUUAUUGUAACGAGGGAGAGCUGUGAAAUCAGAGAGCAAGUGUUGGACGGGAAGAAGUUGCCAUUUUGUAGCCUGGUCGGAAAGAAAAGGUUGCAGUCUGCAUUGAGCUUGGACUUAAGACCAGCAUGGAUGUGGAAAGGGGUGCUUGAGAAGAGAUCAGUUGGCUGUGAGGAACAGCGUGGAGGCUUCUGAGGCAGCCUGCUUUGUGGUACCAGGCUUUGGGAUUUCUUUUCUACCUGUGUAAACAGGUGAAGUGGAGGCAGCCCGUGAAGUGCUGGGGGAGAGUGAGAUGAUUUCAUGUUUGCCUGGAUACAAGAUCUACUUGUAUGACAUAUCAAAAGCGUUCAGUAAUAGCUCUGCAGGCUUUUUCCUGCAGAACAGCACCAGUUUGGGAACAGCUUCACUGGGCUAAAACUCAGUUGCUCUGUGUGGCAGAGGGCAGCAAGAUAUGUGAUUUCUUGAUGAAAUGGGGAGGCAGCUGAAAAUGAGUGAUAAACAGGACGAGAAGAGGACUCAAACAUUGGAAACACAAAGGCUCUGACUGCUUUCCCUGGCUGGGCUGGGCUGCACGGGAGGUCGCCACAAGACAUUUCUGAGUCAUGUGCUGCAGGUGAGACACUGAGCAUCACCAUCCUGCUGAGCAGGACAGGGGCGUUAAGGGCAGGGGAGGAACAGCCCCAUCAGCCCUGCAGCCCAGCACAGGAGGGGCAGCGCUGCGGCCUCACCCACUGGCACAGCAUUAUGGAAGGAUGGAGUGGGGGGGCAGCUGACUGCAUCAUUGUACUCACAGCUCGUGAGCAGCUGCAGCACUGCUGUGUGCUGGGGUGUGCAUGGGCCGAGCCGGCCAGGACAAGCACGUAAGGGUGAGGCUCACCUCGUGCGUUUCUCUUUCUGUCCCGUUGGUUUUUGAGUGCCCGUUUGUGUUUGAAAGCUACUGCUGCUUUUGCAAUGCUUACUGUCUUCAUUAGCUUCUAGUGAGCACUACUCAUCUCCCCUAGCACCUGCUUUAGGCCCUCCAUUAGCAGCUGUCUAGGUGCACACAGCGCCCUCUGGUGGCGGAAGAGACGAAGCGCAGCCCAGAGUCAGCCGGAGCAGCUGGGGGCCUUCCCCGCAGUGCUGCACAGAAGGGCUGUGCUUUAGCCUUCCCAAAGUUCGAUACUAAUCCUAUUUCGAAGAAGAAAAGCUGGCUUUUAAGAGCGGAGGAAAAGCUCUUUGCACUACAGGAAUACGAAAUACAUUUUCUUAAGAUAUAUUUUACAGAUGUUCUUACAAGUACGUCAAUAUCUGCAAAGAUAUUUUCUACCUCCAGCUAUAGCUACAGCAGCUUUUCCCUUGCUUUCCCUUAGAGCAUCAGGUGCUGACUAACUAAUGAGAUGCCCCCACACCUGCCUUAACAUGCUGCAGCUGUUCCUGAGCUUUCUAGAAACACCUGAAAUCAAAAGCUACCACCAAAGCCAUGUAAAAAAGCCCUUGUCUAAGUAAUGCAAUCCUUUCAGCUGUUAAUCAUGUUUGACACCCCAAAACUCAAACCUUCCCCCCCCCAACCCCGCCCCCCAAAGAAGUACAGAGAGCAAUAAGAAUAAUAGUUUUAAUUAAUACAGAAAGAACACAUGGUACAUUCCAGCAGCAGCAGCUAAUUGCUUUCUACCAUUGGGGAAGAAAAGUUAAGGCUAGUUCAGGGCAACCUGAUACAAAGGUUUGUUUCCCUACCCCAUUCUGCAGACAGUGCUUUGUAAGUUGAAGGAGAUGAUUUGUGCACAAAACAUGAGAUGUUUAUUCAGCAAAACAUCAAGAACAGAGAAAACAUGCUUUGUUACAGUGGGAAAAAUACACAAAGCUUUCAAGCUGCUUUUUACACCAUCUCAGGUCUGAAACCACCAAGUUGCAAUUUGCAGCCAAUUGUGCCCCAGCUUUGUAUUACACAGGCUGGCAGUAGGGACCGUGGUGACCAAGUGAAGUUAAUCUAUUCAAUGGAGUAUAAAGUGCACGAGAAAAAUAAGUGCAUUGAAAUGAACCAACCAUUGCUAUGAGUAACUCCCAUCACACACAGCACUCGCUUAGAACAGCCAUUGCUCCAGCUAUUCAGUACAACACAGCACUGCAUUUCCAAGAGCGGAGUCAAUAACACAUCAUGUAUCAAAGAACUUUAACUGAAGGUAGAUAACUCUGCAGGUUUCUUUCCUCCAGCUACUAAAAGACAGCAACAUUCUGCUGCAGCCUGAAGCGCUUUGGGGCCUGGAUUUGCCUUGGUAAGCACUGAGCACUGCAGUCCUUUUCCUUUUCUCCCAACUUGAAUUGCUUGAAGGCCAUUAGGAGCCCUGUCUUGUAGGUGCUUUCCUAUUCAUCCAUUAAAACCAUCCUUAGCAAGAUUUGAGAGGUGAACCGGGAAGCAAUCAGCAAGGUAAGUGCUAUUAAAGAAUUUAGGGGUGCAUCUGCCAUAUUUCAAAAGGGAAAAAAGACCUGGGACAUUCCCAGAUUAAUUCCAUCCAUCAGUGGUGGGUGUUCAGUCACUGGGACUUUUGUGCCCUCCAUUUACUAGAAGGGCAGGUAUUAAAUGCAGGCUCUGCUCACAUUAACUUAGUCAGCCCCCCUUUGACACGUGCUGAAUUCUGAACUUAUUUUACAGUGGAAGCCAUUUGCUGUGUAAUCCUUCCUGAGACAGAAAAGCAAGGUUAGUUUCCAUGACAUCUCAUUUCCAUUGCUGGAUUACCAUAGAGCAGUCAGCUGAGAAAAAACUGCAGCCAGGAAGCCAAGCAGUUCAUUUAUUCACACCCAUCAUGUACUUCAGUUCAGUGCUGUUGUUAUUAAUAUAUGCUUGUUUUCCUCUUUUAAUUUUCCCCUGGGGGAGGAGGGGGCACCACACUUUGUUCUCCCACUGGGUAAGGAGGUGGCACUAUGAAGUAAAUAGCAGCUGCUCAGUCGUUUUUACCUUACAGUCCCAACCCGCUGCUUCUAUGGCAUCUUUGUCAACACAUCUGAGCAGCUGCAGCUGCUUUCCAAGAGCCAAGAACCGUGGCCAACAACCAGACCCCUCCACUGACAGCUGCUUACAGAAUCCAACAGGUAAAUGAAGCCUUACAGGAAUUCUUUGGGAGAAAAGGAGUUGAAGAACUCCAAGUUGUACUGCAACUAGAGAAUGAGGGUUUUGCCAGGAGCACAGAUGAGAUAAAUAAGGCAAGGGGCCUUGGAAGCCAGGAGAUUAUCAGAGGCAAAAGCAGCAGUGACACAAAAAACUUCUUAGUUCUUGAGAGUGAAAACUCAGAUCACACUUCAUGCAGAUGCCCAGGGUACAGAUGGGUGCUCUCAGCCCUGCUUUGUUUUCCUUAGAGCAGACAGAGCAGGCCUUAGAGCACUACCCUACCUUGCUCUAGCACAGCCCAGUGACAGAGCAUGUCCCCACAAGGAGAUUUUGUUUUCAAGAAGCAUAAAGUAACAUCUACAACACAGGAUCACUCUGCAUCCUCUUUAAAACAGUGGAUAAAGCUUUUCCUGUUGCCUUUUCUAUAUGGAUUUAAUCCCAAGGAGGAAGUUUUCCAUAUAAAACAUCUCAAGUUGAAAAUGUACAGCUCAUAGAGAUAUGCAAUUUGUAAUUAACUCCUUUGUACAACCAGAUUUCACUGUGUACACACACACAUAUAUAUAGCAUUUAGCUACAGAAGUAGCUAAAAAAGCAACAAGGACAAAAAACUCAUUGCAAACAGGAGCCAGACUUCCAAGUGUAUUUUACACAGUACUGAUUUUGCAGCUUUUUCAGGUUAGUUUUCAUUAAGUACUUGGUGUACAGUAGAACUCUCAUCUCCUUGUAUUUCUGGAUCCAUUUUUCCCAUCGGAGAUUUUUAAUAUUCAUUAGUAAUCCUGACAUCAAGAGUCGGACGUGUAGUAAUAUAUUCCUAGGUAGUAGCUUAAUGUAUUGUAUAAAGUCAGUUUUGUUUCACCAAGAACUAGAGUCCAUUUCAAUAUCAUUCCCUGAGGCAGUCCUUCCUUUAUUCUAUCCUCCAGUCAUCUGUAUAGAGUCAUCUGUAUAUCCAGUCUGCUUUCUUUGCAGCUCACAGUUAGACACACAACCUCACACGGCUCAUUCUCAGCAGUUCUCCUUCCCCUGACUGCUCCCUCCAAAAAUCCCAACUUCCCCAACAGCAAAUCAGUGUGCUUGACUUCCACAGGACAGGAACUGAGGUGUUUAAAUAACGGGCAUUCAUUUCGGAAGGUGUAAAUGCAUGAACCGAUAAUGCAGCAGCAGACAGCUAACAGAACAGAAUUAAAACACAAUGAACAGUGUGACGUUUAUCUUAUUAAAACUGAAGUUAUUCUCUUAAAGAACUGAUGGUGCUAAAAAGGCAGCGCUGAGGGGGAGAGAAACAAGAAUUGUCAUCCUUGGUCCAUAGAAACUCACCCAAGCAAUAACACCACAUCUUUACAUUCUCAAUGGACUAAGGAGGUUUCUCCUGAGAAUAACUCCACUUUUUGUUUCAUAUGUCCAUAUACAAUGAAUGCACUUAAAGCUUUAAGUUUUAGUAACUUCAUUUAGACUUUGUUUAUAAAACAAACACACACAAGCACACUUCCUAGAGUGCAAAAUGCUUAAAUACUUCCACACCAGAACUCCACAUGUACUUUUUGGAACAGCGAUCCUUUUGUUCUCAGACUCAACUUCUUCCUCGUCAUCGCAUCCAUCGCCAGCAACGGUUGCAUCAAAACUAACAAAAAAAAAUGCAGAGAACACAGCAGUAGAAAUCUCUUAUCUCGUUCCUUCAGUUUUCCACAGGGCACUGUUCAUUUGUAUAAGCUCAUGGUUGGACUCUGAUACAUGCACAUGUAAGCAUCACAGAGCAGUCUUCGAGCACAACCUUGAAUCUUCCUGGAAUCCAGUGAGUGCAGUUCUUCUACAGACAUCUUCAGGUAUUCACCAACUUCUGGGCACGGGGUGACUUGUGGAAUGUUAAAGCCAUUCUGACCUCCUUUAACGCAUGAGGACAGAAACAGAAUACUGUACAGUCACCGUGGCGACAGAACGUUGUGGAAAGAUCAAAGGAAGCAAAGUGACAUUUUGAAAGAGGACAGAGACCACAACCUUACCACAGUCUUUGUUUCUGAGAUCUCCCCUAACUACUAGAAGGGAGUGUCUCAUUUCAUGGAGACAUGGGCACAGGAAAGUAGUAAAUCCAGUCAGAAAAAGGCUGGAUGCAGAAACUGAUAAAGCUGGGGGUUCCUUAUAGAACAGAGGGAGGGAGGGAAGG